GCAUUUUUGUUUUUCAAAUUUUUCAAUUCAGGGAAAGAAAGUGCAGUAAACGGAAUUACUGAGCCUCAAUUUUUAAAAUUAUUCAAAUAGACAAAAUAUUUUAGGUCACUAUACUGGUACAAAUAAUUGUAAAUCAUAUUAUAUCAUGCACACAAAAAUAUAAUUACCUUCCAACUUAUUUAAAACCUUUGCAAUUUAGCUGAACUUGUCCUUACUAGGUAGUUCUUAGUACAGCCAUAGUUAGCCCAGUUCUUAGUAACCAAUAAAUCUUGAAAUUGUCCAAAAAAAUACUUCUUCUAUCUUCGUACUAAUACAAGGCUACUUUAAAAUCAAUUUGCUCGGCCGUACUAUCUGAUGAUUGUGUUGUUUAUAAGCACGAUUCAUUAAUCAUUGGCCCCAUACCGUUAUAAACAUGUUUUGUGAUUGGGUGAUUACAACAAUAAAAGACAGCAAAUACAUAUAGCAUACCAUGUAAAUUUCACACGUUGUAAUGUUUUCGUUUGGUAAUACAUUUUCAUAAAAUAUGUGUGGUAUAAAAUUAUUUGCUGGGUUCCUUUUUAAACUAAGGUUUCCGCCUGGUGUAGCAAU